UAGUAUGUGGACUUGCCUUUCACCGAAAGGGGGGAAAGUUGUGAAAAUUGACACCAGUGUGAAUUUAUACCGUGGCAACCACGCAAGAGAAAGAGGCAGGAAUUAGCACCAUGGACAGAGACGAGCAGCCCUCAAAUUAAGAUUUGCAAAGCUUGACACGGUGUUUUCUGUCCCUUUCUGUGAGACACGGAAACUGCGCGUCUUGGGAAUGUUUUAUUCCACGGGACUUUGCGGAAAAGACUGUCCUACUCCACAGAAACUCAUUUAUUUUGAAUUAGACUGGCAUUUCUUAGGACUCAGCCAUCGUGACAAACUGUCAGGAGAGUUAGAGCCCCGAACUCGCUGUGCACCUUCCACUGUCCUGUUUUACAUACACUCCCUUGCCGGCGUGAGCUCGCCUUUCUUCAGAGUGUUCAUGCAAAGUAAAUGCAAAUCCAGGUAGUCUUCGAAAAGUCUGGUAAACCUGUUCCAGAGUUUUUAAUCCUCGAAUUUCCCAGCUGGAAUUGCAGCAAAAAUGCCUAACUGCUCACCCUUGCUCCCUCCCCCCGUUCUUCUCCCUGCUCCCUCCACCCCCUAGCAAAGGGGUAAAGCCUACUCGAAGAGCAAGUGCCGGCACCGGGCCACGGUGACAAAGGCGGAGUUUGUAUCAGAAGAAGACUGAGGCCCGGGGAGACACAGCGGCUAGAGAAACAGCUGUCUUAUCAGCCCGCUGCAGAGAUGGAGAUGGCUCGAGAGGUCCUCAACAGAUAAUCACUUGAAUAGUGAUAGGGCCACGGGAGAGAUUCCAGAAUGAUUUUUACAAUAGCCUAAGAAGUUGUCAUCUACAAGAAAGGAUCUGCUUAGCUACUUACAGGAAUAACAGUUAUUUUUCAACUCCCUCCUCCCUUUACCCAGGUACAUUGCAUGCCCUGGAUAUGGUACAAAGGGCAAAACCUGCAAUGUACCAUUAGAUAACCUGGCUGCCAUCCACUGCCACUUCCUACAUCUCACUUUUUUAUGCAUGAAUACUUUUUCACUUAAAGAUUUUGAUCAGGAAUGACCCGGCUAAUGUGCCGAGUUCAGGAAGUCAGAGCUGCAAGGUUCUUUUGAAACCAGACAAUAACCUAGUUCCCUUCGCCUCCCUUCCCUGCACCUCUGCCCUGCUUACUGCCAACUCUCACUCACUUUAAAUGCAUCAAGCCUAUUACCAUCCCAAGAGUAUCAAACAUAUAAAUACAGAACUUGUCCACUGACCAUAGUAGAGAGAAAAACAAAAUUAGCACUACUGGUUUGUACGGGUUUCUUUUUGUUGUUGUUUAACCACCCCUCCUCCCAGCCCCCAACCCUUUGUGUGUGAGGAUUCCCCUUCAAACCACCCACAGACCGAGCAGACGAGAAGAAAUGGUAAUUUUCGGUUUAAAAGUUCACUUACCACGGCAA
rnacentral:lncRNA from 1 species